rnacentral:pre_miRNA from 1 species
GGGUGGCUUUGCACAGACCCUGGUGACCUGAGGCUUCCUGGCUGUCACUCUGUCCCACCCCUCCUGGCCUGCGGGGCAUAGCCUGAGUCCCAGUAAAGUCUGUCAGGUCCUGACCCUGACGUCUGGCCGCCCCUGCAAGGC